GCGCACACACACACAUAUAUAUAUGGUCAAGACACUUGUUUUUCUACACCUGUUUCCUGAAUAGGUAUGCUUAUAAUUGUAUGCCCACUAUAAAGGAUGUUGAAGAGGAGGGGAAUGCCGAAUGCAUAUAAAUAGGGGAUGGCGUGCAAUAAUUACUCUUCUGAGUUAUUGUGUUGUUUUGAUGUACCGUACUUGUUGAUUUAUAACUUAAUGAAUCUAUUUUUGAUUCUGCAGAUUGUUCCUAGAAGAGAGACCAGU
rnacentral:misc_RNA from 1 species